GGCUGGUCCAACAAUACUGGUUUUUACAACUAACUGAUCACAAGAAGUUACAGAUUUCUUUGUUCCUUCUCCACUCGCACUGCUUCACUUGACUUAAA
ensembl:misc_RNA Y_RNA Y RNA